AGAUGCUGUCUGUGACACCUGUUUUGUCUUGAUCCUUAGGAAAUACAGACAAAACUAAAAGUCUCUAGGUCAGUGAGUAAAUCCAUCUGGUUUUGUGCCCUGCUGGCAAUGUUUUUUGAAUCACUGAAGGAAGAUGAUGUGCUCCUUCCUUGGCCUGAGUGAAACAGAUCUCUUACCUACUUUGCUUUCAACCUGACUGUUAAAUCCCAGUGGGAGGAGGGAAGAAAAGGAAAAUGAAUGCUGUCAGCCUUCAGCUUCUGCAAUGGAUGAAGAAGCCCAGUUUUUUCACUGUGUCUUCAUAGGAGAGGUACUUCAGUCUUUGGAUCAUUUCUGUGGCCCUCCUCUGUACGCUCUCCAAAAACUCCACAUCUUUUCUGUGGUGAUAUGGGAUGUCUACCAUUAGUGCUGAAACACUGCAAAGGAGAAUCACAACUAACUGGCUGAAGUAUGAAAAUUGCUGAAGGGCAUUUUCUAUCACACUUUGGGCAGCUGCACAUGAAAUUGAUGGAAAAUUACCUUUCCAAGGAGGAGCUGUUGACUCCCGUGAGGGUGGAGAAGCCUUGCAGUGAGAUCUUGAGAAAUUAAAGGACUGAGCAAUCACCAACUGCAUGAAGUUCAGCAAGAGCAAGUGCCAGAUUCUGCAUCUGGAAUGGGACAGUUCUGGCUAUAUGUGCAGACUGGGGGACAAGAGGCUGGAGAGCAACCACGCAGAAAGCGACCUGUGGUUUUGGCAGAUGGCAGAGUUGAAUGUGAGUCAGCAGUGUGUCCUGUCAUCCCAAAGAGCCAACCGUACUCUGGAAAGAGUCAGGGUAGUGAUCAAGUUGUCAGAAGCAUGCUUUCUCCCUUACAAGAAUUAAUGUCCCUCUGUAUCAGAUAGAUAUCAGUGAUGCAAACAGGGAAAAACCUGUCUUAACCAGAUACCCCUGAUAUCUCUGUCUCCAUACCCGAAGUUCAGAGGGACUGAAGUUAUCAGAUAUCCAAGUAACUCUUAACAUUGGGAAGCAGAACGUACCAAACACUCUAGCCAAGACCACAAGCCAAACUAAUUUAUGUCUCUCUUGAAGAUACAGAGAUCAUGUGGACAAGUAUGUACCAUCUCUUCACUCGUUUGGCCUGAUCAAAGUUGAGAUAAAGUCCAAAUAACUUUGUCCUCUUUCAAUUAAUUAAAAACUUCCAAUCUGAAGUUUUCUCUUCGAAAACAGGAUAACCUAGGGAGCUCUGUUUUGAUUACCCAGGUUUCCAAAUUAACAGAAAAUAGACUUUUGGCAACAUGAAUAAUGUGUUUUUGUCCCAGAAGACAUUGCUCUGGCAUUCUGUUGACAAAAACUUCCCUAUGUAGUUUUGAGACUGCUAGCAAUUGCACUGCAGUACCAGGAUAAGAGUUGUCUUUCAGUCAGUCAUUUUUCUGCUAACCUAGUGCCUCUGUGAGAGCACAGGUUUUUUUCUCUUCUAUUGCAAAUUGUUGAACCUUAAAAAAUUAAUUGCGUAUACACUAGUGAUCACUUCCAUAGAUAGAGCCUGAGGCAAAAUACACAGAUGAGAAAAUAUGGAAUUUCCUCUGACAUUUUCUGGCUAAUGCUAUCCAUGAAAUUACAAAUAAAAUCACCAGGGCCAGCUGCUCAUUUUAUAUGUGCUCUUCCAAUCAAAUCAGAUAUUAAAGUGUCCUUUCACCAAAGUUUUCUCAGUUCAGACAAAAUUUCUGCAGAGCAGAGUUAUUCAGAUAAUACUAAUAUUUUAGUUCACAUUUGUUUUUAACAAUCUACAUACAGGUAAUUUCUGUAUUUAUUUAUUUUUUGCUACUGAACCAACUCUACAUUUUGUUCACCAGCCUUUGUUUGCUAUAUAUUCAUCCUUAGAAGGUGGUGUAGAGACUUCUGCAAAUGUGGUAGUACAGGCUCAAGCAUUGUAUGCUACAGGAAUCCCCUAAGGUGUAGAAUUGGUGCAGGAAGCUCUGACACAUGGAAAC